AUAUUUAAUCAAUCAGUUAAGAUUGAUUCUGUCUUGUUGUAUUUAAAUUGGCUAUUAAUUAGAUAUUAUUAAAUAUAAAUUUUUGUGUGUUUUAAUAGAUCUAAAGG
rnacentral:rRNA from 1 species